UCUCUGUUAGUAUAUCGGUUAGUACACGCGCCUGUCAUUCUCCUGACCGCGCGAAAGCGGGGUUCGACUCCCCGACAGAGAG
rnacentral:tRNA from 1 species